CUGAAGCACAAGGUCUAUUCUGACGGUUUCCUCUCACCCUGCACCUCCACUGGCAAGGUACCUUCGCUUUCACUACUAAUCUCUGCUAGUGAUGUCCAGCUCAACCUGGUCUGCAAUUUAGUUACCUUUGAUUAGGCUUGGACAUGAUUCGGUUUGAUUGGCUAAUCUGUGUCAAAAUUGCUGGCUAUCGAUUUAUUACCGUUUUCCCCCAUAUUUAGGUUGCUCGAUCGAACUGAACAGCAGCAGCUUGAUGCUGCUUACAAUUUCAUUUUUUCUAUCAUCACGGAUUGUUCUGUUCUGUGCUUCUGGUUGUAAUACUCGCCGUGAUUGAGCUUGUUUUGAGUAGAUUAGUCCAUGCUGUGAUUGAUGGUCGGAUAAUGCCAUAUCAUGACAGUGAGCAGCUGUUGGGAUGCAGGAUUUUGAAGAAUGAUAGAAGUUAUUUGUUCCGGUCAGUCACUGAUUUCAAUGCUUAUUUGGUUGAUGUUGGAGAGCCUGGAGGAGGACAAAAGCCUCUAGAUGAUACUUAUAUUCACAGCCUGAUUAUUGUUUGGUAAUUGGAUUUAUAAGUUCCCUCUGCCGAGGGUAUUCCUUGCUUGUCUUCUUCAUAGUUGUUUUGUUGGUUCAAAUCAUCAGUAGAUGCAAUGUGAUGAAUGUGAAGUUCUUGGGUUUGGUUUGUUAAAAGUCCAAAUGGGUAUAUUUUACUUAUUAUUUGUCUUGGAAAAAAGAGCAUUGCUUGCAUACAAAUACGCAUAGACCCUCCUUUGUGAUGCUUUGCUAGUUGCUCGUGUGGGAAAUUAAAUAUUUGUUCUUUUGCUUGCUUCAAACAGCUACUUGGGUACAGUUCAUGUGUUGAUUGAUUUAGAAUCUAGAUGUAAACAUUUGCAGUUGGUCUACUGUUGCUUUUGUUCAAUGCAACUGAUAUUUUGAAACUCCAUUUUUUUCGUUAAAGUUUUUCCUUUUGUUAACCUUACUUUCAAUUGAUGCAGAGCUUUGGUUGAGUUUCUGGAUAUGAGGUUCAGUAUAAUCCCCCCUAUGAAUUACGAGGUGUGUUUUCCUUUUAGCUACUUAAAUCCUUUCGCAUGGAAUCUACAGUUGUAUUGCCUACAUAACUUUUCAUUUUCUGCAGAUGCUCCUAAUUCCUCAAAAACCGAAAAAGAAACACUGGUUAUUUUAGAAGAAACUGGUCGCUUAUGAUGUUGCAACCUGCCGGAAAUGGGAACCAAAUUAAUACCGUCCCUAUACCCUACAUAUAUAGAUUCUACAUCCCAAAUAGCGCAGCUUGCUUUACAAUGCUUCCUAAUGACUCCUAACGAGCAGCCUUCGUGGACUAAAGUCAUGGAAGAACUGGAAUCAGUAGACACUGGAAUAGAAUGGGAUAGUUAAAUUCACUUAUUAUGUCAUUCUUACUUCAUGUGAUGUAAGUCAAAGUCUGUUGUUCCACACUUUUCCAUUUUUCCCGGGAAUAAUCCUGGGCUUUGAAUGUUCAUUUCUAUUGUACCCAGCAGUUACUAGGAGUUGUCUUCUCUUGUAAGUUCUUUGGAAUAUCCAUGACAUGUAUAUUAAUACAUGCACCGCUUUGUGAAUUGAGAUGUGAUUGUACUUAUGAUUAUGAGAGGAACAGUUCUUUAAGGCUAAUCCUCGAUCUUGUUGGCAAUCUGAGGUCCACAGAAGAAGUCCAUUGCUCUUCAAGAGUCCGAGCUCUUUAAUUUUCUUGCAUGCUUGGGCUUUGAACAUGAGCAAAAGCUCAUUUUGGUUGCCAUCACGAAUGUGUUUAUGUGGUGCUUGCUCUGCAAUCAAUCUCCGGGAAGUGCUAGGCGGUUCAUUCCAUUCUCAUAGUAUUUUUGAGCUAUGAGACAUGGUCAGGGAAAUUGAUGGAGUCAUGUAAGGCAAAGUGCUGCUCAGUUGUCCAUUCAGAAAGAGCAAGAUAUGACUUUGGGUGCUGUCAUGUUGCAGCUAAGACAUGUCUGAUUGUUUUGUGCUAAUAAGAGACAUUUCUUAUCAUAUGCUAGUUUUAGAUAAGACUUUCCAUACGACAUCAUAAAUGACUAAAUUUUAUUUUUAUAUUCUCAUUAACUUAGCCCAUUGGUUAUUGUACUUUCUUCACUGUUUGUAAAUCUGAGGGCCCUAUUAUUUUCGACACUUCUCAUGUAAUUUUUAUUUUUAUUUUUGAACUUGUUGAUAUCUCUUUUACAUCACUCUCAACGCAAAAAUAUAAAAGUUUCCAUCAUUUUGGUUUUUUUUAAACAAAUUUAAAAAAAAAAAAUUGAUUACACUAAAGAACUUUCCAAAUAUAUGUUUAUCAAAUAGUAUUUUCCCAAUGUUACUUCUCAAGUCAUUUUAAAUUGCAAAUUACCAAAUAGUGUUUGCAUUUCACAUAACUCUUUUAGGCUAAGGGCCUUUACAUUAGCCAAAGGCUUUCCCCAAAAGUCAAAGCAAACGCACCCAUAAAUGGGUACUUGAAAUUGAGCUUUAUGCAGACCUUUGUGCUUAAUUGUUGUUGCCCUGCUAUGUGACCCGCUGUUUCGUGUAAAUCAGCGAUAUAGUCGUCGUCAUCAUGGCUGAAGCGCUCUUGGAGAUCCGGCCUCAUGAAGUCAAGUUUAUCUGUGAGUGUAUAUAGUGCUGCGCGUUUGGUUCAUUUUUAUUUUGGAGCUACAUUCAAUUUGCGUUGCUUGCCUCCUGCUUUACUAGGCAAUUAGUGAAGGGGAUGAUAUUUCUUUGUUCUACAAUAAUUUGCUUGAGAAUUUGUGGUUCAACAUCGUAAAUAAUGAUAAAAGAAAUAUCUUAAUAAGAGCUUCAAUGGCGAGUAUGAAUCGGUUAUUAAUCGCCCUGUUUUUCAAAUUCUUUUCCUUGUGUUGUUUUCAAAUUUUUGGCUAGGUUCUUUCUUUUUGCACAGUUUCUAUCCUCGCACCACAAACUCUUAGAGUGCCUUGUGAGGUGAAUUUCUUUCCGGAGAUACAGUAAGUGAGUGUUGUAACCAAAUGACUGAGAAUGAUCGGUAGAGAAAACCAACACGCAAAAUGAGAUUUCGUUGCUGCAUUAUGUCUUGAAAGAAAAUGUAUGAUGGUCCAUUUCAUCACAUCCUACUCUCAUGUCGUGCCUCGUUAAGUUUUUUUAUCUGAAGCCUCUUCUUCAUGUUUAUGCAGUUGAGUUGAGUAAACAAAGCUCAUGCUUGAUUCCGCUACGCAACAAGACUGAUUGGUAUGUUGCUUUCAAGGUGAGGAUUUUUUGCACCUUUUCAUUCACCAUGAUCGUGCUUUACUUUUUUUUAGGUAUGGUGGGCGACCAAUUUUCUUUCAAUUCUGUAUUCUCUUGAUGUAGUUUAAAUUUCAGAGUAGGAUAUCAAUGCAUUAAAAGCUCUCUACUAUGGAAAAACAUUAUGAGCUUUAUACUGGAUAUCCAAAACAUUCCAGGUUAAGUCUACAUCUUUGAAGAAAUACUGUGCGCAAUCAAAUGUAGGCAUCAUCAAGCCAAAUGGAGCAUCUGAUUCAAAAUAGUGCUGCUCAAGUCCAAGGAACAUCAUGUUCACAUACUUAUUAAAGCCACUAACAUACUUGUGAGGAGGGACACGCCUACAGUACCUAAAUCAGCUAAAUAAUUCUUUUGCAAUUUCUUUGCCAUGACAUGUCAAUUGGAUUUUAUUAUUGUUGGGUUACAAACUACUUAAGGUAGAGUCAGUCUAAUUGCAGCAAGGAUCAUCUUUGAAUAAGAUUUUGAAUGCCUACCAUAGUAGCCUAAUAUACAUUGAGACAAAGGAAACCACGAUAGGCCUCACAAGCUAUGUCCUGAUACUUCAAAAGAAUUGGAGUAGGCCUUUCAUCCUAUCUUCUGUUUGAUGUAGUUACCAUGUAAGCACGACAGGUAGCUCCAACUAUCCUGUAGUGCAAAGAUAAGUUUUUGAUACAGGUGAAGAGGACUACUGACAUGGUAGGUUUUGCUGCUAUUUGCUCCAUAAUCUUCCAGGUCAAGAAACUCGAGAAAUUUUCUUUUAAAUUUUCAAAUUGAUAAAGAAAGUGGUAAAUACAUAAAUGAGAGGAAGAUAAAAGCAGUUCUAACCAAUCCAGUGGAAUCACUAUCAAUGCUACCAGAUUAUGGAGACCGGAAGCAAGAUUCAUCUUCCAGGACUACCAUCCCAAAGGAUAUCUCACCUGUUGGAGUCGAAAAUGUGUCACCUUUUCUCAAGGUAUUACUUGCAAAAAACAUCAAUAUGUCACUUUAUUGUCUUUCUGGAUUGAGAUGGCAUUGUAUCUAAUCAAUGUAUCGGGGCUUUGCCACAGCCUUGGCUAGGCUGUAUGUUUAUUUAUUUGUGAAUGGAAAUCAAGUUGCUGCACAUCAUCUAUAUAUUGAUCUACCUUUUUAGCAACUAAAUGCGAGUGUAUGGGAUAUCUUUUUUCUCAUAUUAACUGUACGUGAAUCCAUUUCUAUGUCUCAGGAAAGAUUGGAAAUCAUAGAAUAUGACUUCUGUUCUUACUCUUAUAUUCCAGAAGGAUUGUCUUUUGAUGCCAGGAUCCUGAAGAGUUGGACGUGUCAAGAGGUUUUAAGGAGUUAAAAUCAACACUCAACAAGGUGAUACAAAGUUGAAAGAGGUUAGUUUUCUUCCCUUGGUUGAUUUGAAUUCAGGUCUACUUUCACCAGUCAAAUCACUGGGAGGACGGUUUCCCUUCCACUACACAAGCCACCCUUGAUUGCCCAUUUUAUACAGAUGAGGACAGGAGACAGAAGAGGGGAAGAAUUAUUAAAAGGAAGAAAAGAAAACUUAUAAAAGGCAUAGGUGUUGAGUUGGGAGAAUUGCAAAUCAGUCAUAAAUUUAUUUGUAUGAAUAAUCAAAUAAUGGAAUGGAAAACAUGUUUUCUCUCUCAUAUUCUUGGUUCACUGCUACUACUAACACAUUGGUUCUUAUGAAUAUCUGGUGCUGCAUGUAUUGAAGAUUACAUUUUUGUUUACUGAGUAAAAUGGCACGAAAUUGUUAUUGCCAAGUCAGAGUCGACCCGACUAUCACCAGGGACUACUCGAGUUUGGUACUACUGCUGUUGCUACUGCUAUGUUAGUGUUGUGUCUUGGAGAGGUGGUUAGAGAUAAUUUAGGCUUGCUGACUUGGGGUCUUUCUUGUGAUUUCUCUCGGGUUGUCCGAGUCAUGGCAUAUCCCUUAGCUGAUAUUAUUGUGGUAUCUUUCGUUGUGAACUUGCACUGGAGUUUGAUUUUCUCAUUGUUGGGAUCCGUCGAAAGGAAGAUUCUGUCCUGUAAGAUACUUCCUCGAAGAUUAAGAUUUCACUGCCUUAAAUUAGUUUUUUUGUGUUACAAAACUCUUGAAAUAGUAUAUUUGCAUUAUAUUUACCUCCAAAUUAAUUUUUGUGUAACUAGCCUAACGUGACUCAUGAGAUUAUCUAUUCGGCCCUGUCCCCGAACCAUGGGAAGAAAAAUACAGGAAUUUUGGAGAAAAAGAUGGGAUUUUUUUUGAGCGAAACAUGUUAGCCAAUCUACAUAAGUUACACUAGACCAAAAAAUUAGAGUCUCCGAGAAGUUAUCAAAUGCGCCAUCGUUGCGGUGCUAAUCGGAGAUUAUCUCUUCGGAUCGGGCUGCCCUCAGGGGGAGAAGAGGCCGAUUGGCGAUCUUAAGAUUCUGUUUUCAUUCUUGCAUACAAUGAAAUCACUGCUAAAGGAUGAAAGGUAACAAAACUCGGAUCAGAUUUUGCUUAACGGAAACAACAUAGCUAUUGUAAGAAACAACUUCUUCCUUCUGCUGGUAAUUAUAUUGCUAUAUGUUUGAGCCCUUGCCUUGAUAAGGGCAUGGUCUUGCCUAAAGUUUUGGUAAUCUAUCAACUAGUAAGCAAUUGCCUUAACCAAACAGAAACAAUCAGCCGCUCUGAGAGAUUCCUUCUGAUAAGACUCAUAAUGCUUAGACAAUGUAUUGAUGAAUCAUGACUGGUCUUGAAUUUGUGAUUAAAAGGUCAUCAUCGCCUAUUCUUUACAAUCUGGUCCUUUGUCUCAAUCAACCUUUUGUCCACCUCUUGAUAAAUAUAAAGCACAAGUGGUGUGGCAAUUAUGUUACCGAAAAGCUAGAAUUCUGCUUUCCAGUGCUUGAACCACUUAAGUGACGAUGCCUUGCUUUUGUCUUACUGCAGUUAGCUGGUGUCUCCCCUGAUCCAGAAUGAGUUGGGUUCAUCCUCUAACCCCAGUGGUUGAUUAUGUAGUUACUUUUAGUUGUUGGAAGCCCCAUCAGCAACAUCAUUUGAUUUUAUAACCCUCUUUUUAUGGGUUUAUGAAUCUGCAACCUUAGUCAAUUGAGCUCUUAUUUGAUUGAGCUCAUGUGUGAAUGUCUGAUGCAAUUAGCUCAACAGAUGGUGCAUGAUCACAUCAUCCUAUUAUCCAAUAUCUAUCUUUUGCUCAACUAGAGGGUGUGACAGUUGUUGUCAUGCUUGGUGCAUAUUGUUCCUAGGUUCCAGUGCAUUGUUAUUGAAGAACCUAUCUUGGCUUGUUUUAGUGUUCUUCUGUAUUUGCCCCGCCGUUGACUGCAUAAUAAUAUCUGUAUUUCCCCCCACAGAAUAUGGUAUCUUCUUGGUGGCCUGCUAUUUGACUACCCUCUCUGUUUUAUAGUACAUUCUCAACGUAAAUGCAGAAGGGUGUGUUCCCAAUAUCCACUUUGUAAAAGAUCAAAGAAUUCCACUUAUGUACUUGUUGCUCUUUGCUUGAAAAAAUUCUACUUCAUUAUGCAGUAUGGUUCUGGUACCGAGACAUCAGGCCAAAGAUGUGCACUGUACUGCAUACAGCUAGAUGAAUAAUGGACGUAUUUUGCUCCAAGAGAUUUCAAUUUUCCACCCAAGUAGCUGUAGUUGCUGCAUGUUGCGAAAAGAUCCAUGCCCAAAGCGAACUCACUUGUUUUGACCAUGCCCGGUUUUUUGUCGUUCAUGCUUUCAAAGUGGUUGGCUAUUUGGGUGGAGUGCUGUUUCUUGUUUUUGCGGUAGUGACAUUCAUCGGAGUUUUCUAGAGGUUUUCAAUCUGCUGAAAGAGUGGGCUCCGAGCUCGUGAGGUGUGAUAUUGGUUGCGGACUUUGGUUAGAGCGACAAGAUCUAAAUAGGCUGGAAAUAAGGUGCUGAAGAUUCACCAUAGGCCUCUUCUUUAUCGCUUGUUUUCGUGUAUAUUCACAGCUGCAAACGAGCUUUGACUUGAGGCAUGUGAAAUGAAGAGUAAAUGCUGAGAACCUUGUCUAGGCAUUGGUGCAAUUUUCUUAUUUGAAGCUUUAUUGGCCAUCGAAUCUCAUCAUCAUGAACAAGUUUGCAGUUUCAUUCCGAUUUUGAUUAGUUCGAACACAUGGUCCAAGAUUCUUAUAAAUGCUAUGUAACAGAAUUCUCCAAGUUGGAUCCAAAGUUACAUACAUAACCCAAAGUUACAUACAUAACAUGAUGUUUUUGUUCUGAGAUACUAAUACUAAAAGACAGCUUGUUCUGAGUAUGUCGAUACUUUCCGGUGACUAGUAUGGUUCUUUUUCAUUCUUUUACCCCUUUCACCGUAACACAUGGUGCUACAACAAUCGUACCCUUCAAGAACAACGUAGGUUGGGCUUGGGAGAAUCUGCUAGAAGCUCAGGCUAUCAGAGAAGCUGUAAAUCCUUGGAGAAAUCAUGAUGCAGAAGCAAAAAAGAAUUCAUAGUGCCACCAUUGUUGAGUUUGUACCUGGUAUGAUUUCUUCUCGAACGCUCUCAUUCAACAAGGAGAGAACUUUCUGUAAACCAUGCUCUUGAUGGAGAAGUUUGAUAACAUUCAAAACAAAUAGGUCUAGGUGGUGGAGCUAUUUUGCUCAACUCCUUUUAGUUAAUGUGUAAUCCAUGUAUUUAUGAGACAUUUUGGCAAUAGGUCUUAAUGCCUCUGGCUAUUAGACUUGUGCAUUGUAAUUGAUGGGAUGAUCACACAUUAGUUUAUUGGAUUAUGUUUUACUCCUUUUGCCCUUAUAAGUUGGCAAAGAGUACCUAAAAUUGGAUGACCAUAUGUACUGAUGCUGGAAGCUGUGAGUGAACUUUUAAACAACUGAGAUCGUGUUUUGGAUGCUUGAAUAUUGUCUGCAGUACGCCAGACACAUAUCUGCUCAUCGCUCCUCUGUCCUGGAAUGAAUUUGGAAUAUCCUGAAAUGUUUUGAGGCGAUUUUGUAUUUGGCUGCUUGGCAAUUAAUCUCCUGUUCAGUGAGUGAGAUUUCCUGUAUGUGAGUUUUGGAAAUUAUACGUUUUCUUGGCAUUGUUCAGUAUGCGCUUCCCUGAUCAUCGUCCAAUGGUCUGUUAAGAGUUGGCUGCUUGCUUGUCGCAUAUGGUGACAUGGAUUGCAUUCUUUUUUUUUUUUUUUGGGCUUCCAGAACUCAGUAUCUUUCAUGUGCUUUAUAGAUAUGAACGACCGGAGUUCGGACUCUGUCAUGUGCAUUUCUCUCCGCAGUUUUAUUUAUUUUGCGUGGUGUUGGAUUGGGAAUAUUCGUGUAGGAAAUUUUUUUAUGUCUGAAUGGCAAAUUUACUAUCAUUUACUACUGGGGCCGAAUUUUCCUCAAGAAUAUCAAAGCAGCGGUUCUAUGCAAUCAGGCUAGUAAACGUAAUUACUCAGGAAUGAAUAGUGAAGAGCUCGUUACUUUGUUGAGUUUCUUGUUCUUGUUAUUCUUUUUAACUCAAGCAAUUGUUUAGGUCAAGAAUGUGAUGCCUUUAGAUGAUUCAGAAUUAACACUUAAAGAACCAGGACUCACAGAAAAUUUCAUUUCGCAGCAUUGGUCAAUGACCAAUCUUAAUUGAGCUGAUAUGUAGACUUUAUUUGGUGUGCAAAAGCUGAUGAAUGGUGUAAUUUGAUUAUAUCCUAUCUCUCACAUAAUGACCAAUCUUAAUUGAGCUGAUAUGUAGACUUUAUUUGAUGUGCAAAAGCUGAUGAAUGGUAUAAUUUGAUUAUAUCCUAUCACCUCACAAAUGUGAGAAAAGUUGUGACGAAAAAGGGUUUUGAUUAGAUAAUGUGAUUACAUCCUAUCACUAUUCUUUCACAUUCAGAUCGAUUUAAAAUUGUCUCUUUUCUACUAAUCAUGUGAAGCAACUAGUGUGUUGCAAGAAGAGAAUUUAUGAUUAGAUGCUACUGAUCAUUCGGAUAGCCGGCUUCUGGGGCAAGGAAGUUUGCUUAAGAGGGGAGAAAUAGGAAGGUCGCUAUAAUUAUUUAAUGUGAGGUUAUGCUAUUUUGUGGAAAGAGUAAGAUCAAAAUCAAUCAAAGUGACAUUAUGGACUUGCCUUUGCUGCUUAAUCGUACAUAGCCCCAAUAGUUUGUGACAAAAUUUGCCUGUAUCGCUUCUGUCAAUCUUAUACAAUUAGCAUCUUCUAAUCUACGACAACUUAGUCCGAUGUUUUGCGUUGAAUAGCGGCAACAUACGCUUUACUUGGGAUACUUGGUGAGUACACUCGUGGCUGAAAUGCCAUUAUCACGUGUUGCCUAUUGAGCGUUUUGGGCUAGGCAGAAACAGUUGGAAAACCUGCGGGAUCGACAUCUGAUAUAGUGUCUGGAUUGUUCAAGUAUGACUAAGCCAUCUCGCGGUUCAUAAUUGCAAUUUAGAAUCGAAAACUAAGUGGUAAUCCCAUCUUUUUAGCCAUUGAACAACUUGAGUCCUGUCAUAUGUCCCGAUCCCUGAAUCUUUUGGGAGCCAUUGAAUCCAAAGGAGAGGGUCUGAAGAACCAAAGAGGGACAAGUUAACAAAAGCAACUUUAUUUGUACGAGAUUUCGACAAAACACAAAUUAGCUUGAUCAGUGGCUAAGUAGCAUCGACACACAACAGUCUUAUUAUAACUUCAUGACGGUGUUUAAUUGAAAAAGCGAACGGGAUUAUCCUUCACCAUCGUGCUCCGACGAAGAAACAUGUUAAAGAGAAGACCUCUCUCCGAGGGACGUGUACACGUGGUGCGUUUAACAAGAAUUAGCUUCGACCAAGCCCUGAGCUGCUGCGCUCAUCACAUUGAGGAGCCCCUCGCCAGCCAUGGUAUUAUAAUCGGUAGGUCUCUCGCGCCCUCAGAAUCGUGCCCGCAUGACAUAACCAUUUUUCAGUUGAUCAACGUGGUCCGGAUACGAGGACAACCGGCCAUCAGAUUCAGGAUAGCACCUGAUCGCAACUGAUUUUUUUUCUAUGGAACUUUGUUAUUAGUGAUCAAAGAGAAAAAAGCACAAGAUAGCUAUACUGGGUUUUCUCUGCAGUAAGCCAAAAAGAAUGUGAAGUAGAUUUGGAGGGGAAACUAAAUCAAGAACGAUGCCAAGAGAACAUAUAAAUUCCAGAAUCUGCAUACAGGAAAAUCUCACUCGCCGAGCGGGAAAUUAAUUGCCGAGCAGCCAAAGACAGAAAUUGCAUCAGCACAUUUCAGGAUGUUCCAAAUUCAUUCCAGGACAGAGAUGGCAGACGCACAGAUGCAGUCUGGCGUAAUUUUAAAUUUUAUUUUUCCUGCAGACAAAGUUCAAGCAUCAAGAAUACGAUCUGUGUGUUUAGAAGUUCACAUCUUCAUCUCACACUCAUCCAGCUUACAGUAUCAUGUAUAGUUGUCCGAGUUUAAAUGCUCUUUGCCGACAUAUAAAGGCAAAAAAGAUUAAAUAAAUUCAAAUAAAACUAAUGUUUGAUCAUCCUGUCAAUCACCCCUCGGUCAUUCAAAAAGAAAGCCACAAAUUGGGCGAACGUAAUGGUCAAAAUAAGCUUGUGCACCAGAAAGGCUGACCACCAGUAGUACCACAAUGUCUAAUAGCCAGAAUUCUUAAGACCCGUUGCCAAAAUGUUGCAUGAAAAACUUCGUUUGCACACUAAAGCAGUUAACCAAGAUUACUCAACCACGUAGAUGUAUUUUUUCUAUAUGUUAUCAGACUUUUUCAUCAAGAACAUCGUUGAACGAAAGGUCUAGUGAUGUGCAACAAGAGCAGUCGAGAAAAAAAUCAUACCAGGAAUAACUCAACAAUGGCAGCACUAUGAGUUCUUUUUGCUUUCUGCAUCACGAUUCCUCCAAGGAUUCAGAGCUUCUCUGACAGCCUGAGCUUCCGGCGAAUUCUCCCAAGCCCGCUUCUCUGACUCCAAUUCGGUCACUUUAUCAUCUGCAACAUACAACCAGAUUAAUAUUUCUUGGUUAAUACAGAAAGACAGACCCUUUGGUAGUAAAAUAAGCAACCAAUGGCAUGGGAAAGAAUCUGAUAAUCUUCGUCAUGAAGAUGCUCACGAGAGUAUAGGUAGUUAUGAAGGCAAGGCAACCAAACAACAUUCUCACAAUCUUUAGUCUAUACCAAAGUCCAUUCAGAAAGAUGCAAGUGAUGAAAGCUCAUCAGUCUUCAAUAAGAUCACAAAGGAACUGCAAUUUCAACGGGACUACAAAUCACUUCAUCUAAUUGUGUUCCUACAGAAAUUUUUACUCUUUGAUUAUACCCUGAAAGAUAUGAAAUAGCUGCAGAACAAUCCGCUUAAUGUUUUCCCGAGAUGUGCAUCACAGUCAUAAGUUCAAUUUUAAAACCAGUCUCCUCAACGACUUUUCAGAAGUUUCUCCCACAGAAGGUAUCAAUGAACAGAUGAUUAGCUGCACAAGCCAUCUAUUCUCCACAGACUGGAACACUUCGCAUUCAUAGGUAUCGCCAUUCAUCACCUGAGACAACAUUUUUUCGCAUCAUGCUUUUCGUGUAGAACAAUGAGAAUGUUCAGUUCAUCGGCAUAACACGACGGUCCAAAUCAAAGCCCUCCUCUUUCACAAGCAAGCGACUGCAACAUACCAAGCGACUACGACAUACCACUGAAAUCAUGAAUUUCCGUCCUACCCCCAACUUCAGUCACAAAGGAACUGACUAAACGAUGCUUUUCUCAUCCGAAGAGACGAAUUUGAACACGACCCAUCACCGUAAAAUCCACUCCCAUUCGACUAACGCAAUAGCUGUCGCACUAGCAUCGCUCGCGAGCUCUAAAGCAAGGUUCAUUAGAUAAAAAUUGACUCCAACUGCUUAAUAGUGCCUAAAAACCAUCCAUUUCGAAGUUAUCUCGCGCCAUUUUCUUUUGGGGUACGAGCUACCCAAAAGAGAAGCGGUAAAAGUCGAAACGAAAGGAAUUGGCAGGAACGGGCGAAGGCGGAGCAAGAAAGGGAUGGAGUGUCCUCACACAGAAGCCGGUCUUGAUCAUGAACAACUCCAUGGAGCCUCCGACGAGGGCCGAGAAGACCCCGAUCUUCACGUACCAAUCAAGAAACUUCACCGCCAUAUCGAAAGUUGCCGCUCAAGCUUCCGCGGCAGCGGCUGGAAGACGGGAAAACGAAAGAAGGGUCUGUAAGAAAGAGGAGAAGGAAUAGGUAACUUCACGUGGAGAGAGGAGAUCCAUCGAGGCCCAUCAUCGGCCAACGCAGCCCGAACAUUUCCCCUCUAAAGAAAGCUUUUUUAGCUGUUGGGUCCAAGAAACUUGGGCCUUUGGCCACUUUUAGUGCUGCUCGUUGCAUCAAGAUACAAUCUUUUCGUCUUCUCUUCUCGUUGCGUAAACGAGGGCGGAUGCUUUGUUACAGAGUGCGUUUGGUUCAGCAUUUUGAAAGCUCGGAGAAAUACAAAACAGUUUAGCCUAAGGGGCUUUGGACAAAUACAAAGACUAUUUGGUAAAUUACGCUUUGAAAAGCAACUUUGAAACAAAUGCUGUUUGGUAAAAAAACACAUUUAGAAAGCCCAUUUGAGUGAUUAAUAUUAGCUUUUUAGUUUUUAUAUGUUUAAAAUUGACAAAAAUAAUGCAUGCAACUUCUUUUAAUUUGAAUUUUGACGACAGUGCUAAAAAAUAUCAAAUGGAAAAAAUUCACAUCAAAGUUGUCUCUUUCUUAAUUUAAAAAAAAAAAAAACCUUUAUUAUAAUAAACGGAAUAACAUCUGCCCCGAGGAAAUAAAUUUAUUAUUCUUUAAAAUUACAAACAUCCUUAAAUAUUUCCUAAACUUAGAGCCAUUUGAUCAAGCUAGAAUACUAUGUACAACAAACCUUGAUACAACACAGUUUCUCAAAUAUCUAUUCUCUGUUUACAUGCAAAGUCUACAUAAAAGUUCAAAUGCUCCUAUCAUAGAUAGAAUUAAAGGUCAUUGUAGCACAUAAGCUGCCAUGUUUUUUGACCACAAAGAUGACUUGUCUGGCCUGCUUGACUCCCCAGAUGAAGUGGAGGAUGAAUCCUUUGAGUGACCUUUGAGACCUUCAUCAGCAAUUAGAUCCAUCAAUUUUGAAAGUGACAAGGUGUCGAUAUUUCACUAUCAUUAACCUCAGCUAAGCUCAUUAGCAUCUUCACGACAGUCAACAUGGAUGUUUGAAGCCCUGGUAUACCCUGUGUUCAGAGAAGACCAAUCUUCAUGAAUAGGCAUGCCUCUUACCUAUGAUGUUCCCCAUCCAGAGAUGUAUCACUAAGAUCAUUAGCUCCCCUUUCUUGUGCAACUUCCAUGCCCAUAACACAUUGUACAUGUAGAUCAAGAGAUACAAGCAUUUGCAGCAUCACAACUGAACUUCUAAGCCAACAAGAGCAAGAAAGUCUCCAAACCCCAAGCCUAUCUGUCCACAUAAUCCCCCGUUAAACACAUAACCGAUUUUCACAAGAAAGACCCUCCUUAACAGGAACAAAACACUGUGAAGUUGCCCAUGAACAUCCAGGUUGCAUAACAUAACACAAAAUUGACAUGUAUUCUUUAUACCCAUUCAUUGCCCACUCAUUCUAGCAAGUAUCAGCUAUAUGAAUAAACAUCCAUGUUGCAAAACAGAACACAAAAAACCAGUGCAUAACUCGUAACUGGCACGUAUGACUUUGAUAGCAAAAAAUUUGUUGCAACAUAAUACAAACUGGGAUGCUAGAUUAAGCAUACAUAUAGCACCAAAUAAGGAGCAGAUCAGGGCAUCAACAAAUUUGGGCAGCAUGAGUUAAAGAACCUACUGUAAACAGGUGAAUGAACACCCCAAAGCAGGAAUGGGAUUAUGAUGGAUAGCAAUUAAAUGAAGUUCCAUAAGGUCAUUCCGCAUCCACGCAUCACUCAAUGCACUCACCCCUCCAGUCAAACUCUCCAGGAACUCAAUCUUCUUCUCGAUCGAGAGCCCCCGAGACUUGGCAUUCUCGCCUGGUGGGGAUAUCAAACAGAACAAAGAGAGAGAGACAACAGUCAGCAAAAAAUGCCGCGCCGACAUCGACCCCAGCGACGACCCCGACCCCGAUCCCGACGACGCCGUUGACGAGACCGACGCGCGCGUCGGAUCCUCGACGCCGGCGUGGCCUGGAUCCUCCGCGGUGCCAUACACAAGCGCGAGGUGGAAGCUCUCGGACGUCCGGUUCCAUCCCAUCCAAGACAUUCCCGAUCGGGGAUCCGCCGACCUCGCGCGCCGCUCACCGGCCUCUCACCGGCCUCUCGGUCGAUCGAUCGCGGCGGUCGUCUUCGUCGGCGGCGGAUCGGAGGAUGGCAGUCGAGCUCGCAGUGAGAGAGCGAUGGGGAAGGGUGGAGAGAGAAGGCGAUCUGGGGUUUUAGUUUCGAAAUGGGUAAAAUUGGUUUUUCAAUAAAGCUUUGAAGGUAAAAUAGGUAACCUACUAAUUUUCAUCAAAUGAACCCUUCAUCCUUCCGAAAAGCUUUGAGUAUUCCAAUUGCUGGCUUUCAUUUGAAAGCUCUUUGGGGAUGAUUGUCAAACGCCCCAAAUCUUCUCUAAUGGGCUUUGGGGCUCCAAGGGGCUUUUUAAAUGUCGAACCAAACGCACCCUGGAACUUCGUCUCGUGCAGUUCUGCUGCAUGUCGUGCUGUGGAUGGCUAGGAAUCAUACCUUCUAAGGGAGAAACCGAUACGGCAAAAGCUCGUCACGGCAUGCAUAUGCUCUUCUAGGAGUAUUUCCACCUGGCAAUGAUAUUCGAUGCUCGAUCUGAUCUACAUUUAGGACAGAGGUUCGAGCUCGGCGAUUCUGGAACUGCUUGAGUUUUGGCAAAUUUCACUGAGCGCUUCUCAGCAACUAGCAAGCAGAGUCUAUGUCUAUCUUGAAGGUGAUAGCUUCUCUGUUAUUGAGCCUCUGACCAAU
rnacentral:lncRNA from 1 species